UGCUAAGUGUCUUGAUGGGCAGGAGA
rnacentral:piRNA from 1 species